ACAAAAUGGAAGGCAAUUCAAGAUCCAUGACCCAACUUGAAAUUUAAACAAAGGUAGCUCGGUGUGCGAAGCAUCUCACGUUCAUACUGGGUCCUAAAGAGGACCGCACCCCGAGAAGGUGUCACACCUUCCCAACUCAGAGAUAGUCCAAGCUUUUUGAAGGCAACAACACACUAGUUGAUCAAACUCUCCAGGCUUGAAGGAUAUUGAAAUAACUUCAUCAAUACAUAACAAAAGCCAUCAUGAAAAAACUAUGACUUUCCUGUUAGCUAUGUCAAGCAGCAACCAAUGUGUCUACGCAUCAAUAGAUGGAGAUUUUCGAGACAAAUGAUAAGUUUCACCUGCUUAUUCUGUAUUCGACAAUAAAUCAGACGUGCAAAUCUAGACUAAAGGAGUAAGG
rnacentral:misc_RNA from 1 species